rnacentral:tRNA from 1 species
GGAUUGUGGCUCAGGGGUAGAGCACAUGCCUAGCACAUGCGAGGCCCUGGGUUCAAUUCUCAGCACCA